CUACUACUCCCUCCGUUCGGAAUUACUCGUCGAAGAAAUGAAUGUAUCUAGAUGUAUUUUAGUUGUAGAUACAUCCAUUUUUGUGACAAGUAAUUCCGAACGGAGGGAGUACGUG
rnacentral:pre_miRNA from 1 species